GGCCCCAGCCAGAGAAGGGCCCCAGCCAGAGAAGGAGAAUUUAUAUGGAGAUAAGGGCGUUUACAACCAGAGCACCCCACCAGAGAGGUGCUGCCCCUCGGAGAAAGUGGUUUACUUGUGGCCUUUAGAGACACAAGUCAACUGGCGAAGCCCUCCACAGCCCCUUCCCAGGGAGGGGCCGGGCAGCACUGCCAUGAUCCCCGGGGCAUGCGGGGCUUGCCAUGCGCAGGACUGCUGUUAACUGUUUUCGGGGUGAGCAAGGAGAGGCAUGGGAUGAGAUUAAGACAGAACCGGAGAGAUAAAAAAUGAGCUCAGGAAACAGCAGUGGCCAGGAGGGAGGAUGAAGGAAAGAGGGAGGGAGGGAGAAGGAAAGGAAAGGGUGGCAGAAGGAAAGAGAAUGAGGAGGCAGCAAAGGCGGGGGGCCUCCCUGGAUAGUCUUGGGAGGCCCCCAGCCCAACUCUGCCCUUUCAGGCCACACUGUCAAGAGGGGAUGACCUGCCUUUUCCCAGGAGAGUGGCUCCAAACAGUCACAUCCAACAGUUCGUGGAGGGGGAGACGGUCACUGACAGGGGAGGUGGGGGCCCCCUCUGACAUCCAGCUGGGAAGCACCCCUUCCAACAGGCUGCCUGCACUUCCCUCCUCUCCUGGAAGCCCCGCUCCCUCUCCCCUGCCCACCAGCCUCCCUGCUCCCAAACCUCUUAGCCCAUUAAGCCUCCAGAGUCAGCGGCGCUGCCAGCUGCCAGGCAGCAGGGCCUCUGUGCUCUUUGCUUUUCCGGAACCCGGGUGUUUCCGGGAAUACUGACACAGCCACUGGCUGGGAGCCUGCUCUCAAGGCUGGAGGAGAUGCUGGGCCCUGGAGCCACGGCUCCCAAGCUCGGCCUCGGUCCUUUGGGGAGGUGGAGAUGAGACAGUGAUGUCCACGUCCCGUUGAGGGUGUCAGAGUUUGGCCAGCUUCAAGAGACCGCCCUUCAGGAGAUCUGAGAGACACGCUCUCCCUGAGCCCUCACCCCAGCAAAGGUAAGGACAAGAGAGGCCGCCAUGAACUUCAGCACCACGGACAGAGGCUGGGGCUGGCCGGAGGAAGGGGCCCUGGGUGGCCUUCAGCUGCUAGAGAGCAAACCCCACAAACCUACCGAGGAUGAAGUUGAGGGACCCACGGUUAAUCCUACGUGGCCUGCCAGUGAGUCCCGGGCUCCCCAGGGAGGCUCUGCCCCUUGCAAGCCUGAGACUUGGCCAAGUCACUGUAGC
rnacentral:lncRNA from 10 species